rnacentral:miRNA from 1 species
AGUGUGAGUCGGUGUGAUUAGG